rnacentral:rRNA from 1 species
AGCGAACGCUGGCGGCAGGCUUAACACAUGCAAGUCGAGCGGGCAUCCUUGUGGUGUCAGCGGCAGACGGGUGAGUAACGCGUGGGAACGUGCCCUUCGGUUCGGAAUAACUCAGGGAAACUUGAGCUAAUACCGGAUACGUGCGAGAGCAGAAAGGUUUAUCUGCCGAAGGAUCGGCCCGCGUCUGAUUAGCUAGUUGGUGAGGUUAUGGCUCACCAAGGCGACGAUCAGUAGCUGGUCUGAGAGGAUGAUCAGCCACACUGGGAGUGAGACACGGCCCGGACUCCUACGGGAGGCAGCAGUGGGGAAUAUUGGACAAUGGGGGCAACCCUGAUCCAGCCAUGCCGCGUGAGUGAUGACGGCCUUAGGGUUGUAAAGCUCUUUUCUCCGGGACGAUAAUGACGGUACCGGAGGAAUAAGCCCCGGCUAACUUCGUG